CAGUUUUUGUUUUUCUGGGAGCAGACAUUCUCAUCCCCCUUUCCCAGUGUUCCCCAGCUCAGACAUUCCCUCAUCCCCUUUUCCCAGUUUUUCCCAGCUCAAACGCUCCCUAAUCCCCUUUUCCCAGUUUUUCUGGGAGCAGACGCUCUCAUCCCCCUUUCCCAGGUUUCCCCAGCUCAGACACUCCCUCAUCCCCUUUUCCCAGCUUUUCCCAGCUCAGACAUUCCCUCAUCCCCUCUUCCCAGCUCAAACACUCCCUCAUCCUCUUUUCCCAACUUUUCCCAGCUCAGACAUUCCCUCAUCCCCUUUUCCCAGGUUAUCCUAGUUCAGACAUGCCCUCAUCCCCUUUUUCCCAGCUUUUUCCAGCUCAGACACUCCCUCAACCCCUUUUCCUAGCUUUUCCCCCUGCAGACAUUCCCUCAUCCCCUGUUCCCAGCUUUCCCAGGAGCAGAUGCUCUCUCAUUCCCGUUUUCCCCCAGCUUUUCCCAGGUUUUCCCAGUUUUUCCCAGUUCAAACACUCCCUUAUCCCCUUUCCCAGCUCAAACACUCCCUCAUCCUCUUUUCCCAACUUUUCCCCCUGCAGACAUUCCCUCAUUCCCCUUUCUCAGCAUUUCCCAGCUCAGACACCCCUUCAUCUCCUUUUCCCAUCUUUUCCCAGUUCAGACACCCCCUCUUCCCCUUUUCCAGGAGCAGAUGCUCUCUCAUUCCCAUUUUCCCCCCAGUUUUUCCCAGGUUUUCCCAGUUUUUCCCAGUUCAAACACUCCCUCAUCCCCUUUCCCAGCUUUUCUUGGCUCAAAUGCUCCCUCAUCCCCUUUUUCCCAGCUUUUUCCAGCUCAGACACUCCAUCAACCCCUUUUCCCAGCUUUUCCCCCUGCAGACAUUCCCUCAUCCCCUUUUCCCAGCUUUCCCAGGAGCAGAUGCUCUCUCAUUCCCAUUUUCCCCCCAGCUUUUUCCAGGUUUUCCCAGUUUUUCCCAGUUCAGACACUCCCUCAUCCCCCUUUCCCAGCUUUUCUUGGCUCAAAUGCUCCCUCAUCCCCUUUUUCCAGUUUUUCCCAGUUCAGACACUCCCUCAUCCCUUUUUCCCAGGUUUUCCC
rnacentral:lncRNA from 1 species